rnacentral:rRNA from 1 species
AUUGAACGCUGGCGGCAGGCCUAACACAUGCGAGUCGAACGGCAGCACAGAGGAGCUUGCUGUUUUGGUGGCGAGUGGCGGACGGGUGAGUAAUGUCUGGGAAACUGCCCGAUGGAGGGGGAUAGCUACUGGAAACGGUAGCUAAUACCGCAUAACGUCGCGAGACCAAAGUGGGGGACCUUCGGGCCUCACUCCAUCGGCUGUGCCCAGAUGGGAUUAGCUAGUAGGUGGGGUAAUGGCUCACCUAGGCGACGAUCCCUAGCUGGUCUGAGAGGAUGACCAGCCACACUGGAACUGAGACACGGUCCAGACUCCUACGGGAGGCAGCAGUGGGGAACAUUGCACAAUGGGCGCAAGCCUGAUGCAGCCAUGCCGCGUGUAUGAAGAAGGCCUUCGGGUUGUAAAGUACUUUCAGCAGGGAGGAAGGCGGUGAGGUUAAUAACCUCGCUGAUUGACGUUACCCGCAGAAGAAGCACCGGCUAACUCCGUGCCAGCAGCCGCCGUAAUAC